AUGGAGGCCACGGCUCUGAGCAUUGGAAAGUCCGUGCUGGAUGGAGCGCUUGGCUACGCCAAAUCCGCUCUGGCGGAGGAGGUUGCUCUGCAACUUGGAGUCCGGCGUGACCAGGUCUUCAUCACCAAUGAGCUCGAGAUGAUGCAUGCUUUCCUCAUGACUGCCCAUGACGAGAGAUAUGAUGACGACAGGGUUGUCAAGGUGUGGGUGAAACAAGUCCGCGAUGUGGCCUAUGAUGUCGAGGACACCCUUCAAGAAUUUGCUGUUCGCCUUGAGAAGCAGUCCUGGUGGCGUAUCCGUCGCACACUGCUGGAUCGGCGCCGCGUGGCCAAGCAGAUGAAGGAGCUCAGAGCCAAUGUCGAGGAUGUUAGCCAGAGGAACAUGCGCUACCACCUCAUCAAGGGCUCUAGUUCUAAGACUGCAACCACCGAUGGAAAACCUGCAGUGGCUGGUACAACUUUGUCCGGAACCGAUGAAGCAAGGUGGCAGCGGGAUAGAGCAAAAUUUGAUCUCAUUCGAAUGAUCAACAAGACCGACAUUGACCUUAGAGUGAUCUCUGUGUGGGGGAAAGGUAUUGGUGAUCUUGGAGAGACGUCAAUCAUCAAAAGGGUCUAUGAAGAUCCACAGAUACACAAGAAGUUCGAGUGCCGAGCCUGGGUCACUGGGUUGAGGCGACCUUUCAAUUCAACCGAAUUCUUGAAAAGUGUAGUUGAGCAGUUCUACAUUAAUUUUCUUCAAGAGGAGGGUAAAGAGGAAAAAGCAGCUCUUGGGACCCAAGUCCUGAAGAUGAUGGGAAUGAUGAAGAAAAUUUACUUUGCUCAUGAGUUCAAGAAAUUUCUAAAAGAAAGGAGUUACUUCAUUGUGCUAAAUGACAUUCUCACCAUUGAAGAGUGGGAUCGGAUUAAAGCAUGCUUCCCAGACAAUAAGAAAGGAAGUCUGAUCUUAGUUUCCACAGAGCAAAUUGGAGUUGCAAGCUUAUGCGUAGGGGCAGAGAAUGGAGCACCAGAGCAUAAACAAUUGUUUGCUGACCAGACUCUUCAUGUUUUCUACAAGAAGGGUUCGCAAGAUGGAAAGGAUUUGACGGAGGCAGGGUGUAGCUCACAAGUGAACACUGCCAGUAGUGACAGCUCUGCCGGUAGGAAGAUGUUCAAUCGCACAGAGACAAUGCUCGCAGCUUUUAAGGAAUCUCGGCUCAUCGGGCGAGAGAAUGAAAAAUCAGAUAUUCUCAAGCUAAUUGCAAACGAUAAUAGCCGGCAACGUGAGGUGAUCUGCCUAUGGGGAAUGGGUGGUAUUGGAAAAACCACAAUAAUCAGAGAUAUCUACCAAAGCGAGGAACUCGCUGGCAAUUUUGAUAAGCGUGCUUGCAUCACAAUUAUGCGCCCUUUCAAUCCUCAAGAGCUCCUCAAAAACUUAGCUAUGCAGAUGGAAUGCAAGGAUGUGGAAGAUUUGGUCAAAAAAUUAGAAGUGAAGAAAUACUUGAUUGUUCUUGAUGAUCUAUUAUCCACCACAGAAUGGGACGCAUUAAUACCAUCUUUUCCUGCAACUGAAACAUCCAGCCGAAUCAUAGUAACCACAAGGAUAAAGGAUAUUGCUAAGCAUUGUUCCAAGAAUUCUGAACAUGAGAAAAUAUACGAGCUCAAAAGUCUUGGACAGAAUGAUGCACGUGACCUCUUCAUUGAAAAGGUAUUUGACAGGACUACAAAUUUUUAUGAGCAGUAUCCCGAGUUGGUUGAACUGGCAAACUUGAUCCUAAAAAAAUGCAAGGGACUUCCGCUUGCAAUAGUCACCAUUGGGGGCUUUUUGGCAAACCAACCAAAAACUGCGGUAGAAUGGAGGAAAUUGAAUGAACAUAUUAGUGCCGAGUUGGAGAUGAAUCCGGAACUUGGGACCAUAAGAACUAUCCUUAUGAGAAGCUAUGAUGGCUUACCUUAUCAUCUCAAGUCUUGUUUCCUGUAUCUGCCCAUAUUCCCUGAAGACUACAGGAUUGGACGGGGACGGUUGGCACGUCGGUGGAGUGCAGAGGGAUACUCAAGGGAGGUGCACGGCAGGUCUGCGGAGGAAAUAGCGGGUAGCUACUUCAUGGAGCUUAUAAGCAGGAGUAUGAUCUUGCCAUCUCAACAAUCAAUUCGCAGUACAAAAGGAAUUGAUGCCUGCCAAGUCCACGACCUCAUGCGUGAAAUCAGCAUGUCGAAGUCGCUGGAAGAAAAUCUUGUUUUUACACUAGAGCAAGGCUGCAGUGUAAACACCCAGGGCAUAGCACGGCACCUUGCUAUAAAUGGCAAUUGGGAAGGAGACAAGACUGAGUUUGAGAGCACAGUGGACAUGUCCCGUGUACGAUCAGUAACAGUUUUUGGCAAGUGGAAGUCAUUUUUCAUUUCUGAUAAGAUGAGUCUUCUGCGAGUGUUGGACCUCGAAGACACCACAGGUCUUUAUGAUCAUCACAUUAAGCAUAUUGGGAAUCUUCUUCACCUAAGCUACCUUUCUCUAAGAGGAUGUGAUGAUAUUCUUCACCUCCCAGAUUCAUUGGGUGACCUAAGACAACUUGAGACACUAGAUAUCAGAGAUACCCAGGUGAUGAUGCUGCCAAACACCAUUAUCAAGCUUCGGAAGCUACAAUAUCUUCGUGCCGGUGGAAACUCAACAAAUGAAAAUGUCUCAUAUGAGGAAGGAGUGUUAGAAGAAAUUCCACACAUAAUGAGGAACAGGCUAUGCCUCUUGCCUCAGUGCUUGCUGUUUUCUUAUUUAUUAUCUAAAGAUCGUGAUGACUUGAAAAUCCAUGAUAGAUGCACUAUGAUAUGCUGUGCUAUACUCCCUGCUUUUGCGAUGUGCCUGGAUUUGUAUGGUGUUCUAGUGCCUAGAAGGAUGAGGAAGCUUAAAGCCCUGCGCACACUGGGUGUUGUGAAUAUCGGGCGACGAGGAAAGGAUGUUGUACAAGACAUAGAAGGACUCACCCAGUUGUGCAAGUUAGGAGUCACUGGCGUCAAUAAGGAAAGCGGACAAGAGCUGUGUUCUGCAGUCGUUGGUCUGAGGCGCCUGGAGUCAUUGUCAAUCCGGUCAGAGGGAAAGCCAGGUUUAUGUGACUGCUUGGAGGGAAAGUUCUCGUUUUCGGAGACACUUCAGAGCCUCAAGUUGUACGGCAACCUGGUCAAACUGCCGGAAUGGAUCCAGGGGCUUAAGAAUCUGGUGAAGCUGAAGCUGCGGAGUUCCAGGAUAACAGAGCACGAUGCUGCCAUACAAGUCCUUGGGAAUCUACCCAAUCUGGCGUUCCUGCAUCUGUUGGAGAAGUCACUCGAGGGUGAAGAGGUCCGUCUCAAUUUCCAGCAGGGGACGUUUCUGAGCCUGGUAGUGCUGGAGCUGAGCAUGGGACUCGAAGAAAGGCUCAAGUCCGUCAAGUUUGAACACGGAGCAGCCCGGAAGCUUGAGGUGCUCAAGUUUGGUACGCCUAUAUACAGUGGUGUCCUUUCAGGCCUACGAUAUCUCGCGAGCCUCAAGGAAGUUCUGCUCAAAGAUUACUACACUGAUUAUGAACUGGCAUGCCUGAGGGCCGAGCUCACUGAGGAUCCACGUCGACCCAUUGUGAAGCGGGUCUGA
rnacentral:rRNA from 1 species